CAGGGUUUUGCCAUGUUGGCCAGGCUGGUUGAACUCCUGACCUCAGGUGAUCCACCUGCCUCGGCCUCCCAGUGUUGGGAUUACAGGCGUGAGCCACUGUGCCCAGCCUAUACACAGCACUUUCAACCACCAUCUGUAAAGAGAUACAAAGUACCUCCUGCUUCAAGAAAGGGUUCCUAUGAAUCUAUAAUAAAUCCACUAAAACCAGUGAAGUUCCAUUAAAUAUAGGGGCUGAGAUCCUAAUUUCCAUGUAGAGACAAGGAGAAUUAGUCCCCUCCAUAAACCUGCAAAGAGAUCACAUAUUCAAGUAGGACUAGAUCCGUGAGCACACACACAAAGUUAUCUAUAUGAAAUCAGAAUCCCAGGCCUUUACCAUGGGUGUAAGUGUAAGGUCUGGGUUUAUGCUAAGUGUUUUAUACUGUAAGAACCACAAGUCAAGAAAAUAAAAUCAAUUCUGGCACCCCAGCAGAAACAAAUACAAAAACUGCCCUUUAGGGAGAGUUUCUAAUAGGGUCCCAUAGGAUUAUCAUAGAAGGAAAGAUUAAGCCUACAUACAUACCAUCUACAGGAGGAAAAGCCAGCAGAUAAAAGUAGAAUUCUUUAAGAAGUACAAAUAAAAUAAAUCAUAAAACAGAUAGGAAAAUACUAUGAAAGAUUAGACAUUUGAAAACCAAUAAAUGAGAAACAGUUCUCAAUGCAUUUUACACACAUUUGAAGAGAGAAUUUGUGAACUGGAAUGUUGAACAAGAGAAUCUUGUUAGGAGGUCCAGAAGGAAAGGGAGAUCAUGGGAACAGAGACAAGUCACUCUUAGGACUAUUUUCUAUAUGUCCCUGCAUCUAAUCCAUCAACAGUUUCUACCAUCUCUAGCUACAAAAUAUAUUUCAAAUCUCUUCACCUGUCUUCAUCUCCACUGCUACUACUGUAGUUCUGUGAUACCGUAACUUGUAUUAACCUGAUUGACUCUCUCUUAGCUGAGAAAGCCAGAUGGAUUCCAUUUGGCUCCUUCAUUUGCAAGACAUUAAGGGCUCCUUACCCACCCCCUUCCUCAAGGACUUAACUUGUGCAAGCUGACUCCCAGCACAUCAAAGAGUGCAAUUAACUGAUAAGGUACUGUGGCAAGCAAGCUAUGUCCACAGUGCCCAGGAAUUUGCUCAGGUGAUAGUACUCUAAAGCCCCCGCGUUUGUGUCCAGCAGAUAUCACCCAGAGCCCCCACACCUAUCACCUUGUGAUGAAUUUAAAGCCCCUGCACCUGGAACUGUUUGUUUUCCUGUAACCGUUUGUCUUUUUAACUUUUUUGCCUGUUUUACUUCUGUAAGAUUGCUACAGCUAGGGUCCCCCUCCCCUCUCUAAACCAAAGUAUAAAAGAAAAUCUAGCCCCUUCUUCGGGGCCGAGAGAAUUUUGAGCGCUAGCCUGUCUCUCGGUCGCCGGCUAAUAAAGGACUCCUGAAUUAGUCUCAAAGUGUGGCGUUUCUCUAUGACUCGCUUGGUUACAACUUUUCCCACCACCACCUUGCCUCUCCUAGACUACUGUCAUCUUACUGGUCUUCUUACUUGCCGAAUCCACCAGUGUCGUCCUGUCAUCUUCAGACCAAAUCAAAAUUCCUUACUAUAAGCCCUACAAGUUGUGGCCCUUGCCCAUCCCUCUGACUUUGUCUCUUGUCAUAUCCCACUAUGUUUACCUCCAAUCAAGUCAGUAUGUCCUCCUUGCUGUGCCUCAACAUAAAACCACAUGUGUUUCCAUCUUAGUUUUGGUUCUGGUACAGCUGGGUAAAUGGUAUAUGUAUUAUGGGAGAGAUGGGGAAGACUGAAAAGGGAGUAUUAGGGGAUGGGUGGAGGUGGAAAGUAGGAAGUCAAGAAUUCUGUUUUGUUCAUGUUAAAUAUGAGGUGCCUGUUAGAUGCAUCAAAGUAAGGAUACAGAGUAGGUAGGCAGAUAUAGGAGUCUGGAACUCAAAGAAAAGGUC
rnacentral:lncRNA from 10 species